rnacentral:rRNA from 1 species
CCUUGCCAGCCCGCUCAGAAACUCAAAGGAAGUUGACGGGGCCCGCACAAGCGGUGGAGCAUGUGGUUUAAUUCGAUGAUACGCGAGGAACCUUACCUGGGCUCGAACGUAAGAUGACUGUAGGUGAAAGCUUACAUCUCUUCGGAGCAUUUUACGAGGUGCUGCAUGGUUGUCGUCAGCUCGUGCCGUGAGGUGUCGGGUUAAGUCCCAUAACGAGCGCAACCCCUACCUUUAGUUGCCAUCAGGUAAUGCUGGGGACUCUAAAGGAACUGCCUACGCAAGUAGUGAGGAAGGCGGGGAUGACGUCAAAUCAGCACGGCCCUUACGUCCAGGGCUACACACGUGCUACAAUGGCCGAUACAGAGGGCAGCUACCUGGUGACAGGAUGCAAAUCUCCAAAGUCGGUCUCAGUUCGGAUCGGAGUCUGCAACCCGACUCCGUGAAGUUGGAUUCGCUAGUAAUCGCGCAUCAGCCAUGGCGCGGUGAAUACGUUCCCGGGCCUU